AGUGAACGCUGGCGGCAGGCCUAACACAUGCAAGUCGAACGGCAGCACAGUAAGAGCUUGCUCUUACGGGUGGCGAGUGGCGGACGGGUGAGGAAUACAUCGGAAUCUACUUUUUCGUGGGGGAUAACGUAGGGAAACUUACGCUAAUACCGCAUACGACCUACGGGUGAAAGCAGGGGAUCUUCGGACCUUGCGCGAUUGAAUGAGCCGAUGUCGGAUUAGCUAGUUGGCGGGGUAAAGGCCCACCAAGGCGACGAUCCGUAGCUGGUCUGAGAGGAUGAUCAGCCACACUGGAACUGAGACACGGUCCAGACUCCUACGGGAGGCAGCAGUGGGGAAUAUUGGACAAUGGGCGCAAGCCUGAUCCAGCCAUACCGCGUGGGUGAAGAAGGCCUUCGGGUUGUAAGGCCCUUUUGUUGGGAAAGAAAAGCAGCAGGUUAAUACCCCGCUGUUCUGACGGUACCCAAAGAAUAAGCACCGGCUAACUUCGUG
rnacentral:rRNA from 1 species